AGUACGUUUUGAAUAGAAAACUAAAACUUUAAUCCAGACAAAGUUCUUGAUUCUUUUUAUGCAGUUUCUGCCCAGAAACUUCUCCCGAGAGGAGUCCAAACUCAGAACCCUGUUUUCCUUGAAGGCCAGACAGCUUCUCCUCUAACAUCUGUAACUUCAGCCCAUCGGGAGUUCAUCUGGGUGAGGACAGCCACCAGGAUCCACAGUCCAUUUCCCAGCAGACGCCGUCUGGAACCGUCCCCCUGGAACGCGCCCCUGGCAGGCUGUCCGGCUGCCUCUGCCGCGCACCGUGGUCCCAUCCACAUACACAGAUGCUCUCAGGGCACUGGACGCCUGCCCCCCGCCAGCCUGCAGGGCCCUGGUGGCUGUGGUGACCCCCAUCUCCCCGGGAGCUGGGUCCUGCGGUGAUGGAAGGAAUCCGGGAGAACUCUGCUCACUCAGCAGAGCAGGCCUGAGGCUGUUGGGCCCAAAUCUGAUCCAUGUGUGAGCCAGCUGAACUCAGAAGCAUUCCCAGGGAAGUGACGUCCCCCCGCCCCGGCCUCGAGCCUCCCUGCUUGACACACUCAACUGGGGGCCACAGAGCAAAUUCCAAGACAGUUUCAAGAAUGAUGAUUCAGAGGCUCAAAGAGGACAUUUACGGGUAAGAGCUUGCUUCAUCUCUGUGGCUAGGACCGGCCUGGGGACACAUGACAGGACCCAGCGUGCGGGGCAGGCGGCGUGGACCCCUAGGACCUGCGCCCUCAAGACCCGCGUCCCCUCAGCUCCUCCCUCCGCACACCCCCCGCACCCCAGGUCCUCUGUCCUAGGCGCCAGCCUCAGGCCGGGG